ACGGGCUAGCUGAUGUGAAGAGGCGGAAGGUUGAAUGGCAGGAGUUGCAUAGAUAGACGGCUGGUGUCGACCAUGUGCAGUGGUGCUCUAUUGCCGGUGACGACGACCAGCGAUGCCACCACACAGUGCGCCCUCCUGCUCAGGCCUUCGCGCCACCCGGACCAAGAGGGCACCCCUGCCCCGGCCUAGCUGCAGGACAACACAAGGCUGUCGUUGUUGUUGUAUGAGUUCGUCGACGCACUUCUGCCAUUUGGAGCCGGAGGAGUGGAUGGGUCAGAAAGAUAGGUGGGCAAGUUCUCGGAGCAGUACACCCGCUGGUCCAGCAUCACCUCGGUCACCUUGGUCGUCGUCAAGGUUCUGAAGAAUGGUGCUGAGGUGAAGUUGCAGAGGAAUGCUUCAUGCGUCUUGCAAGCUCCAACUGGUAACGAAGUUGCAGAACAAUGUAGCUGAGAAUAUUUGUACCUGCCUGGUGGAGCUUGAGCUGGUGCUACCGGCAUCCACUACGACCUGCUGCCCAUGCCUUCGUUGACUGGGACGUCUCCUACAGCACCACGUCCCCCAUCGGCGUGCCACAGAAGGUCUUGCUUUCUCGCUCGGUUAC